UAAAAUCCACCAAAAGUACACUGUAAAUCUUCAGUGGAUUUACACUAUGGAUCCACCAAAAAUACUCUAACAAUUCCGCAUGAAAUACACAAAAGGAAUUACACUGUAAAUACUGCUUAAAUAACAGUACGAAUUCCACUGAGGAAGUACUAAAAUUACACUAACAAAUACACUAAAGAAUUACAGAGUAAAAUCCACUUUACAAUGCACUGUAAUCCACUAAGAAUUACAGUGUAAAAUAACCUAAAAGUACACUGAAAUUGAACUAAGAUUUACAGUGUAAAUCAUAUCAAAGCUGCAAUAUCGACAAAGAACUACACUGUAAAACCAGCCAGAAUUACACUGUAAACCUAGAGAAGAAUUACAGUGUAAAUCCAGAUAGGAAUUACAGUGCAAAUCCGCUUAUAAAAACACUGUAAAACCACUAAUAAAUACACUGUAAUUUUAUCAGCUUUACAGUGUAAAAUCCACUAAACAAAGUUAACUACACUGACAAAAUGCACUGGUACAAGUACAACCACAUAUAGGAGGACGAACAUGGUGAAGCGCCACCAGAGAGGGCGAUUCCUCCAAAAUCUGGGAGACAAACGUCAACAACAUGGCUGGAGAAGUAGGAAAAACACAAGCAAAACAUCCCUCUCCCCCCUCCUGUGCAUUCAUCACCUCCUAUCGUCUCUCUCCUGCCUGAAGAAAUCUGGAAGAAAGAACAGAUGGAAAAGAGAAUAUAAGCACACAAAAGAAGGAACCAGCACAAAUACUAGGAACAACUAGGAUAUGGUCACAUGUACAGCUAGUCUAUAAUCACAAGACCACUAUAUACUAAAAACUAGAUGCCCAGGUCAUAGGUUUCUGAAUUUGCAAAAAAAGAACAUACUACAAGGGACAAAAACACGCUCAAGAUCACUAGGCUAGGAAUUCCAUUUUGGCAAAAACACACUACUAGGCUAGCAAUUCCAUUUAGGUAAAACUAGUUGAAAAUAUACAAGGUUGAGGAUUACUGCAGUUGAGAGAAUAUAUGACUAUUUCCACAAACUUUGGAAACUGAAAAACUAAACACUGUUAAGAAACUUUGAUCUAACAGUUUGGACACUUCCUCCAUGUUCAUAAAUAGCUGUGAUUGAAUGACUGGGUAUAAGUAACUUUGGAAGUGUCAACUGCUAUGAACCGAUACUUGUUAACACUGAAUAUUGAUUAGCAUUAACAUAAACACUGAAAAUAGAAAUUAACAGAAAAAAUGAGUAACACGAUCAGGCUAAAAGCACUGACACUAGAAGGCACUUACUCUAGUAGAAAGAAACAAAAAGAAUAUAUAAAAGUGAUAACAAAUAGCAGAUUCUUCAGGUCACACAAGUAUAUGUCAGAUGAAGAAAAAUGCUCAAUCUAGAAUGAACAUGGCAUAAAAAUACGACAAAUACAACAACACACUUACGUGGGACACAUAGAAAUCAUAUAAGCUUUUUCACACUCAGGGUUAUCCAUUUCACCAUCCUGCAUAAAUACAAAAGAACAUAAAGAGAAUAAACUACUGGACCAAAUAAGCUAAGCCACAAAAACAAUAUACAAAACGGAAAAAAGAAAACACAAGCAAAAAAGAGAAGGACCUCGGAAACUUGGAAAGAAUCGUCCUCAGCAAAAUCAUUGGGCACAAAAGGAUCACCAUCUGAAUCACCUUGCUCUUCGGAACAAGCAGAAUGAAUACCCUUACGAAAACACUUCCCGAGUCUACCCAUAGAUUAAACUAUUCCCUAAUAUAUAUAAAUCACAUAGAAGAAAAACAUACUGAGAAAUAUGGCAUAAAGGAUAAACAUUAUACAAAAAAUACAAAACGAAAAUGCUUACUACAUACCCAUUACCAGAUACAUAAAUGGGUCAGGCAAAGACAAUAUAACAAAAAGAACACAUGAACUAAAUCAAAAAAUACAAAUACUUCCAUAAAAGUGUAAUGUGCUAAAAUGCUCCCUCCGUAAUCUAAUAUAAGAGCGUUUAGAUCACUACUUGAGUGAUCUAAACGCUCUUAUAUUUCUUUACUGAGGGAGUAUAAAAUAGCUAAUUACAAGGGUAUACAAUUAAUCACAUCAACUGAGCUAAAAGGGGGUAAAAUGAACAGUACAAGAAAUAUUCCAAUCAAUACAUCAUCACUGGAUUACACACAAAUAAGAUGAUCUGACGAAAUAAAAUACACAAAUAAAACUGGAAAAAAAGAACUAACCGGACAUUAUCAUGCAACUAUCCAUAAAACACCCUGCAAAAAUACCAAAAACUAAGAUUAGCAUCAAGCAUGACAACAACAGAAACCUAAGAAAAGAUUUAAAAUGAACUAAAAGCAAUCAACAGUUGCAAGAGAAGUCCUACACUUACAAUGAAAUCCAAUAUGAUAACCAGUGUAAAAAUCACUGAUAAGAUAAGUAAAUACAGUACAAUGCACAAAGAUUUACACAGUAAAAACACUAAGAAUUACAGUGUGAAUCCACUAAGAAUUACACUGUAAAAUUCAAAAUAAAGAAUUACAGUGUAAAUCCAUUGAGAGUUACACUGUGAAAUCCACUAACAUACAUUGCAAAAUGCACCAAAAAUUACAGUGCAAAACCAUUGAGGAAUUACACUGUAAAACCAACUAAAGUAUUACAUUACAAGAGCACUACGAAUUACAGUGAAGAUUCACUAAAAAAUAAAAUUACAGUGAAAAAGAAUGUAAAUCCAAUUAGAAUUACAGUGUAUCGACUAAGAAAAUUCACUGUAAUUCCACUAAGGAUUACUGUAUAAAUCCGCUGAGAAUUACAGUGUAGAUCCGCUGAGAAUUACACUGUAAUUCCACUAAGGAUUACACUGUAAGAAAUCAAUAAAAUACACUAAGAAUUACAUUGUAAAUCCAAUUAGAGUUACAGUGUAAAAUCCAGUAACAAAAUGUAAUUCUUGAAAUUUCUGAAUUGGAAUUCAGGAAUGUACAUGCACAGAUUGAGUGGAAUUUCCUGAAAAUAUAUACCAAAAUGACUUGGCAUGAGACUAACUGAAUGAAAUUGAACGGAGCAGCAUACACAUUUACAAAACUACUUCAUUGUAAACAAUGAAAAUGGACUGAAAUUACAGUGUAAUAUAUACUUUAGUUGUCAGGGUGGUGGUUGUGAUUAUUAGUAGUAGCCUGGCAGUGGCAAUGGCAGUAGACUAGUUUGGUUGGUAGGUAGGUGAGGGCGAGGAAACAAAUGAGGAUCCCAUCCAUCCAUCCGUACAAGCAAAAGCAAGGGUUCUGAACUAAAAGAAACAUCAUCACGUCCGACAGCAACAUGGACAUGGAUGAAAUUAGGAUCCCCGCAUGUCAAGGCGCAUGACAACUAGCUGAAUUCAACAAGACAAUGCAGCUCACAUGACAGACGAGAUUCAACACACCAGCGGGAAAUUACCACACACUACGGACGAAAGGGGAAUAGAUCUGACCGUGAAAUCCUACACACAACUAACAACAACCCCUAGCGAAUGGGGGAUAGAUCAGGUCAUAAUCGACGAACAUACCAAAUCACAGGACCAUAAAUGCCGGCGGGGGAAAUGGAGGCCGGGGUUGGGUAUGGCGGCCGAGAUAUGCUGCCCUUCUGGCACGGACAUCGGAGAAGCAGGAGGGGGUUGGGCGGCCGGAGGGAGAGCGCUGGACGCCGGGGCACCCUAGCGAAUCGAGGGACAGGGGAGAAUCUCCAUGGAUCUCUCUCUCUCUCUCUCUCUCUCCUCUAUUCUGGUUGCGAGGAGAAGGGAACACGUGUUUCUGCGGGAAGGACA
rnacentral:lncRNA from 1 species